UCGCGAAUUUUUCACAAUGGGCGCAAGCCUGAUGAAGCCACGCCGCGUGCGGGAUGAAGGCCCUCUGGGUUGUAAACCGCUGUCAGGGAAGGGGAAACGUAUGGUGUUAACAGCGCCAUGCUUGACUGCUUUCCAAAGGAAGCCCCGGCAAAACAUGUGCCAGCAGCCGCGGUAAUACAUGUGGGGCAAGCGUUGUUCGGAAUUACUGGGCAUAAAGGGUGCGUAGGCGGCGUCGUAAGUCAGGGGUGAAAUCCGACGGCCCAACCGUCGAACUGCCUUUGAUACUGCGAUGCUUGAGUGCGUGAGGGGUAACCGGAACGAGUGGUGUAGCGGUGAAAUGCGUAGAUAUCACUCGGAAGGCCAAAGGCGAAGGCAGGUUACUGGUGCGCAACUGACGCUGAGGCACGAAAGCGUGGGGAGCAAACAGG
rnacentral:rRNA from 1 species